GUGCUUGCUUUGGCAGCACAUAUACGAAAAUUGGAACGACAGGAGAAGAUUAGCAUGUUCCCUGCGCAAGGAUGACACACAAAUUUGUAAAGCAUUCCAUAUUUUU